rnacentral:rRNA from 1 species
UGCGUAGGUGGCGCGCUAAGUCAGGUGUGAAAUUUCGGAGCUUAACCCCGAAACUGCAUUUGAUACUGGUGUGCUUGAGGACUGGAGAGGAGACUGGAAUUCACGGUGUAGCAGUGAAAUGCGUAGAUAUCGUGAGGAAGACCAGUGGCGAAGGCGGGUCUCUGGACAGUUCCUGACACUGAGGCACGAAGGCCAGGGGAGCAAACG